AAGUCGUAACAAGGUUUCCGUAGGUGAACCUGCGGAAGGAUCAUUACCGAGUGAGGGCCCUCUGGGUCCAACCUCCCACCCGUGUUUAUUUUACCUUGUUGCUUCGGCGGGCCCGCCUUUACUGGCCGCCGGGGGGCUCACGCCCCCGGGCCCGCGCCCGCCGAAGACACCCUCGAACUCUGUCUGAAGAUUGAAGUCUGAGUGAAAAUAUAAAUUAUUUAAAACUUUCAACAACGGAUCUCUUGGUUCCG
rnacentral:misc_RNA from 2 species